AAAAUUGGUACAUAUUCUAAAAAAAUUGGAAUGAUACAGAGAAGAUUAGCUUGGCCCCUGCGCAAGGAUGACACACAGAUUCGUGAAGUGGUGAGCUGGCAGAAAUGUUA